rnacentral:rRNA from 1 species
GACGAACGCUGGCGGCGUGCUUAACACAUGCAAGUCGAACGAUGAACCCGGAGCUUGCUCCGGUGGAUUAGUGGCGAACGGGUGAGUAACACGUGAGUAACCUGCCCUUGACUCUGGGAUAACUGCGGGAAACUGUAGCUAAUACCGGAUACGACCCUCGGCGGCAUCGCCAGGGGGUGGAAAGAAUUUCGGUCAAGGAUGGACUCGCGGCCGAUCAGCUAGUUGGUGAGGUAACGGCUCACCAAGGGGACGACGGGUAGCCGGGCUGAGAGGGAGCGCGGCCACACGGGGACUGAGACGAGGCGCAGACUACUACGGGAGGCAGCAUGGGUGAAUAUUGCACAAUGGGCGCAAGUCUGAUGUAGCAACGCCGCGUGAGGGAUGACGGCCUUCGGGUUGUAAACCUCUUUGAGUAGGGAAGAAGCGAAAGUGACGGUACCUGUAGAAAAAGCACCGGCUAACUACGUGCCAGCCGCCGCGGUAA